rnacentral:lncRNA from 1 species
GAUGUCUGGCUUAAACUGGAGCUGGAGCAGCAGGGCUCCAUCCACACCAAAGGCUGCAUGGGUCAGUUUGAGAAACGGCUGCUGGACAACCUGAUCGUCAUUACCUAGGUCUUUGUGAGUAUCACCUUCCUUCAGAUCUUUGGCAUCUUUCUGGCCUGGAACCUCCUGAGUGACAUCAAAGCAGUGAAAGGCAACUGGUGA